UAUCAUUUUCUUCUCCCUUCUUCUCUCUGGUUCGUCUAAAUCAAUUUUUUGUUGUGCUAAAAUCAAGAGAAAACAUGGGGAUUUUUAUCAAAUCAAACCUAAUUAACGUUUAUCGUGGUUGUUUAGUAGAAUCAUCAGAUAGAAUAUUUAGUGGUUUGAGUGUUUGAGAAUAUUAAGGUGAGGUUUGAGUGUCUGUGACAGAUUAGGAAGAUGGGUUGAUGUUAAAUUUAGAAUCUAAUGCAUGGUAGGAGAUUCAGGGGUUCAUGAAUCACCAGCAAGUGCAUUUCACGAAUCACCAGCAAGGUGUUUGAGAAAAUGCGUGAGAAACAAGUUCUUCGUGAGACGUCGUUUCUUUCCACAGUAAAGCCAUUUUAAGAGUCGAUUCUCUUGAGAUUUGUUCACAUGGAGGGAUGAUUAACUGAAAUUUAUGGUUUUAGGUUCCCAGACGAGACGGUGGUGCUGUUGAGCAAAGAAGAAAGAGUCUAAGUUUCUGCUGCUGCUGGUGAAAUUGGUGGAAGAAGGAGAUGGAUCUGGUGGCAGUAACGAGUAUCUGAAACUGGUAGUGAGAUGGGAUUUGAGGUUGUUGUUGCUAAGCAGAGAAGUGGUGACUGUGCAUCUGACAAGAAUACGAGAGCAACAUCUGACAAGAUUUGAGAACUUUGAAUUAGAGAUUAUGAGAUGAAAGGGCUUAAGAUAGUGCAACAAGGUGCUACCAUUCAGCAGAAGUACAUAUACGAGAAGGUUUUCAAUCUUAUAAAGGUGCAUUUUUUGGCCCUUUCAUAUAUAUCAAUUGGAGAAUGCAUUUCUCUUCGUACUUAUAAAGGAGGCUUGGAACAAAUUCAACUCAGAGGAGUUUUAAUACUGAAGGCUUCACAUAUGUUUUCCACAUAAACAGUGCCACGUGUGAAUGAAAUGGGACGUGUACAAAGUUUGCCACCUAUGCAGUUCCACGUAUACAAUGUGCAUUGACGUGUACGGGUCAACCCGUCUAGUUGGGUUCCAGUUGCCGAUUCAAAGGACUAAUAAGUCUCUUUAGGUACACUUAACGGUGCUAACUUUUCGUCCACUAAUUUUGGUCAAAUAAGGCCUAGCUUUGUAAGAUAUAAAAAAAUAGGCUUAGUUUUGUAAACCAAAAAAAAAAACAGGCUAGAUUUGUACAAAGCCCUUGUUUUUACAAAAAUUUGCUAAGUUAAAAGCAUCCAUGUUUUCAGAACGUUGGAUGAUAUUAAGAUUCAAAAGAACAAAAGA